GACGAACGCUGGCGGCGUGCUUAACACAUGCAAGUCGAACGGUAAGGCCCUUCGGGGUACACGAGUGGCGAACGGGUGAGUAACGCGUGAGUAACCUGCCCUUCACUCUGGGAUAACAGUUGGAAACGGCUGCUAAUACCGGAUAUUCAGCUCCUGUCGCAUGGUGGGGGUUGGAAAGUUUUGGUGGUGGAGGAUGGGCUCGCGUCCUAUCAGCUUGUUGGUGGGGUGAUGGCCUACCAAGGCGUCGACGGGUAGCCGGCCUGAGAGGGCGACCGGCCACAUUGGGACUGAGAUACGGCCCAAACUCCUACGGGAGGCAGCAGUGGGGAAUAUUGCACAAUGGGCGGAAGCCUGAUGCAGCAACGCCGCGUGCGGGAUGACGGCCUUCGGGUUGUAAACCGCUUUCAGCAGGGACGAAGCGCAAGUGACGGUACCUGCAGAAGAAGCACCGGCUAACUACGU
rnacentral:rRNA from 1 species